rnacentral:rRNA from 1 species
UUAAGUGAUGAUAGCCUAGGGGAGACACCUGUACCCAUGCCGAACACAGCAGUUAAGCCCUAGCACGCCU